rnacentral:rRNA from 1 species
GACGAACGCUGGCGGCGUGCUUAACACAUGCAAGUUGAACGGAAAGGCCCUGCUUUUGUGGGGUGCUCGAGUGGCGAACGGGUGAGUAACACGUGAGUAACCUGCCCUUGACUUUGGGAUAACUUCAGGAAACUGGGGCUAAUACCGGAUAGGAGCUCCUGCUGCAUGGUGGGGGUUGGAAAGUUUCGGCGGUUGGGGAUGGACUCGCGGCUUAUCAGCUUGUUGGUGGGGUAGUGGCUUACCAAGGCUUUGACGGGUAGCCGGCCUGGGAGGGUGACCGGCCACAUUGGGACUGAGAUACGGCCCAGACUCCUACGGGAGGCAGCAGUGGGGAAUAUUGCACAAUGGGCGGAAGCCUGAUGCAGCAACGCCGCGUGCGGGAUGACGGCCUUCGGGUUGUAAACCGCUUUCGCCUGUGACGAAGCGUGAGUGACGGUAAUGGGUAAAGAAGCACCGGCUAACUACGUG